CCGGGACGAGGUGCCCGAAGGGAAGAGAGUGUGGAGUACCGGCGAGAUGGUUGCGCCCUGCAGCCCGGGGUUGGCGUCGGUGGCUCUGCGGGGACAGGGCUGGGCCUAGCCUGCACGCGGGAGGUCGAAUGUCAGGGCUGCCCCCCAGGCCAGCACAAAUCGUCAGACCAGCUGUGUGCUCCUUAAGCCCAGGGCAGGCAGUUUCGCCCACGGGUCUCUGGGGAGGAUGGUGACCCCCUGGCGCUUCUCUGUCAGGCUCUGCUUGUCGCACCUAAGGUGUUUUGAGCUCAGAAGGGAACUGGGCCUUCUAAGACCCUCGGAAUGCUCUCGAAAUGCCAGACUCUGUUGGCUUUUGCUAGGUACUUUACCCAAACUCGUUUUAGCCUCUGGGGACAUUGAUGAGGGCCCCCCCGACACCUUGUGCCUGCGAAGGGCCCGCUGGAGUGACCCUGCUGAAGGUGGACCGGUGGGGAGGUUCUCCCAGGCUGGGCGGCUAGGCUGCAUCUUCCUGCAUCUCCGCAUCUGGCUCCGGGCAGGCGCCCUCUUGGUGAAAUUCUUCCCUCUCCUCCUACUCUACCCGCUCACUUACCUGGCUCCCAGCGUCUCCACCCUCUGGCUCCGCCUGCUUCUGAAAGCCACUGAGACCUCAGGUCCCACGUACAUCAAACUGGGCCAGUGGGCCAGCACCCGGCGAGAUCUUUUUUCCGAGGCUUUCUGUGCCCAGUUCUCCAAGCUGCAUGUACGAGUGACCCCCCAUGCUUGGACUCACACUGAGCACUUCCUCCAGCAGGCAUUUGGGGAGGACUGGGGGAGCAUUCUUUCUUUUGAGAACCAAGAACCUGUGGGCUCUGGCUGUGUGGCCCAAGUGUACAAAGCAUAUGCCAACAUUGCCUUCUUGGAGAGUGACAGCAUCCAGAGACUUGAUGGGACCUCGUGUCUGCAGCCUUCCUCGGAAGCUGGGGCAGUCAGGGGGCUGAGAGAGCUCUUUGGACACCCCGAGAAGGGGUGGACACCUCCAGGAAAUCUUGCUGACCAGUCAUUUCUAGAAAGACUGCUCCUCCCUAAAGCUGACUUAGCUGGAUCAAAUGCAGAGUUGUCUCAGGCUUUGGUCCCUGGCCACUGCCCCAAGACAGAUCACCUCAUCCCUGUGGCAGUGAAGGUAUUGCACCCUGGCCUGCUCUCCCAGGUGCACAUGGACCUGCUGCUGAUGAAGAUUGGCAGCCGAGUCCUUGGACUUCUGCCAGGAAUCAAGUGGCUUAGCUUGCCUGAGAUUGUGGAGGAAUUUGAGAAGCUCAUGGUCCAACAGAUUGAUCUGCGUUAUGAAGCUCGGAAUCUAGAACACUUCCAGCGCAAUUUCCAGAACGUGAAAGCAGUCAAAUUCCCCACGCCUCUGCGGCCCUUUGUCACCCGGGAUGUGUUGGUGGAAACAUAUGAAGAGAGUGUGCCUGUGUCCAGUUACCAGCAGGCAGGAAUUCCUGUGGACUUGAAGAAGAAGAUCGCGCGCCUGGGGAUCAACAUGCUCCUGAAGAUGAUAUUUGUGGAUAACUUUGUGCAUGCCGACCUUCACCCUGGAAACAUCCUGGUUCAAGGUGCUGACAGUCUUUCUGCAAGCCGGGACGUGCAGCUUCAGCCGGUGGAUGUCUGUGACACGCUGGUGGUGGCCUUGGCACCAGCCCUGCACCCACUGCGCCUGGUACUGCUGGAUGCCGGCAUCGUGGCGGAGCUACAGGCUGCUGACCUGAGGAAUUUCCGUGCGGUUUUUGUGGCUGUGGUGAUGGGGCAGGUCAGACCCACUGGGAUCACAGCAGUUGGGUUUGGAUCUUUUAUGCUCCAGGGACCCAUCUCUGUCUUGACAUGGGGCUCCCCAGUCCCAUCAUUUUGGUAAAUGCCCAACUUUGCAGAGUGAAAAGAAGAGGAGAGGAAAUGAAGCUGCCCUCAUGGGGUCUGCUGUGAGAAGGGGCUGGGGCCUGACUCUGAGGCCAGUCUAAGCAGCUCCUGCUUUGGGACCAUCGGGGAGAAGAGCAUCCUUUCCAGAUGCUGCUGGGAGGUGCUAGUUUCUCCUCCUCCUUAGGCAGACACCCACCGAGCACUGGACAUGCCAUAUGCUGUAAGACAAAAGUGAGUGAGGGGCAGCAGCAGAGGAGGGAAGCUGUAUCUCAGGUGGCACUGGCACACUGGCGUCUCAGUGGAGGAUCUGAGGAGUUUUUCAAACCUCCCUGUGAUUCCGAGGAGCUCCACUGGCCGAGAAUUAUUAUUUAGAGAAAAGGGAUUCAGCAGAGCCCCUCCUGAGUCAAGUUAAAGUGUAAUAUCAAGGGUGACCAUAAUGAGACACUCUGGCUGGCUGGCCAAGAAUUUUCCAGCAAGAAAGACCCUGGGUAAAAGGGCACUGGUUUUUUGUUGUUGUUGUUUGUUUUUUAAAGGGCAAAAUUCAAGCAAGCUCUUGUUUCCGAGGCUUCUGAGGGGACAAAGCCUGAGCCUGAAGCUGGCUUGGAAGUGUGCCUGGGCCAGAGACAAACACUGAGGUGGGGUGUCGGGGCUGGGGCCGUUCCUCUGUGCAAGUUUGGGCAAAGGAAAAUGGGCACAGCCUGAAGAGGAAGAGCCACAAGCAGGAUGGGCCAAAGGGUGGCUGAGCUCAUCCUGCAUCAUGCUCGGGCCAAUGAGUGCAGGGACGUGGAGGGGUUCAAAGCAGAGAUGGCCACGCUGGUGACCCAG